GUGUCAGCAGCCGCGGUAAUACGUAGGUGGCAAGCGUUGUCCGGAUUUAUUGGGCGUAAAGGGCGCGCAGGUGGAUUCUUAAGUGUGAUGUGAAAGCCCAGGGCUUAACCUGGGGGGGGCAUUGGAAACUGGGAGACUUGAGUGCAGGAGAGGAAAGCAGAAUUCCUAGUGUAGCGGUGAAAUGCGUAGAGAUUUGGAGGAACACCAGUGGCGAAGGCGACUUUCUGGACUGUAACUGACGCUGAGGCGCGAAAGCAUGGGGAGCAAACAGGAUUAGAUACCCUGGUAGUCCAUGCCGUAAACGAUGAGUGCUAAGUGU
rnacentral:rRNA from 1 species